ACUACACACAUCCAACACAGCUGUUGGGUAAGUUUUGACACAUGUCAAGCUCACAGCAAUGCAGAGUAAAAUCCUAGCUGGAAAAGGACAAAAAACAUGCUUCUUUUGGGCAAUGUUUUGAAUUGUUUUUUCCUCCUCUUCUAUGUAAAAUUGGGUCAAAUACAUUGAGUCCAACAUAACCUGGCCCAGCAAAGCCCAGUCCUUGAACAUAGAAAAGCUUCACGCCAAACAGAAAAACAAAGAAGCAAGAAGACCUUCCUUUGAGCAGUCCCUUUCACGGUUUCAGUGUUUCACAUAUUGCAGGUUUGCAGGAAGCAGGCUAGAAUCCAAAAACCUCAGUUGGAUACAUGUUAGCUCUCUCUCAUUCUCUCCGAUAUCUUCACCACCACCACCACCACCACGUUCGCCGCCAUCACUUUCUUUCUCAUUGAUGUCUAAUUUUCUGUUUAUAUUUGCAAAAUUAAGUUCUCUUCUCAAUCAAAUCCUCCGACCGGUUUUAAGAACAUCCCCCUCCGGUGGCUUCUUCAAAUAGUAAGGUUUCAACUUGCUUCUUAAUCCCUUCCUUAUUUCAUGAUUUGAUUUCAUAUUCUAAUUUUGAUUUUUUUUUCUCCCAAUGUUUUAUUGUUUCACAAAUUAGGGUUUGAUUUGGUAAGUUUUCUGAACUUUGAAUUUUUCAAUUUUCCCCUUCUGAGUUGUGUUUGAUUUCAGUUUUUUGUGAAUAUUAUAAUCUGAUUUGAGUAGUAAUUAGUUGCUUCUUCAUUUCUCACAUAAUUUUUUUUUUGUGCAAUCAGAGACUGUUACUCAUGAAUUUGAGGAAAAAGGUACAUCAUUUAUCAGUAUUAGCUUUAGUUUGAUGAAUUUGGAGGUAGAUAUUCUCUCUCCCUAAUUUACAUGAUUUUUUUUCUAGAAUUUUUUCUUUGAAAGCAGCAACGUUUGUAGUUACUGCUCUCAUGGUAUUUGUAGUUACUGCUCUCAUGGUAUUUGUAGUUGCUGCUUUCAAGAGGGUUUCACUCUCAUGGUUUUGUUGUUUCUGUGAAGAGUUUAAAGGUAUAUUUACAUUGCUAUUUACUAUAUUUAUGCAAUUUCUUCAACGUUCAUUUCCACAUUUCAUUUUUCUCUUCAAUUUAGUUUUUUGUGAUGCCUCUGUUCACCAUUUGCUUUAGAUUAGUCUUUUUGAUCAAGCUAUAUUUAUAUGAAAGAGGUUUGUUUGAAUUUGAAUUAGUGUAUUGAAUAUGAAAAAGUAUCUUCUAACAAACCAUAAUGAAGUAUUCAAGAGAAGGCAGACUUAUUUUAGUAUCCUGCUUGCAGGUAGUACUAAGUUAAAACUAAGCUUUAAGAAUAUGCUUGCAGGUAGUACUAAGUUCAAAACAUAUAUACACAUAAAAAUAUUGAUUAGAAUGAAUUGUAUUGUGUAUGCAUGAUAUUUAUUAGGUUUAGGGAAAAAAAUUAUUGUGAAAUAAGUUAGUUUGAUUGAAUGUGUUUUACAAACUUUGAGACUAAAUAUAUUUGGGCAACACUACAUCCUCAAAAUUAGUUGAUAUGGUUAGUGAUAUGUGGUUUUUUGCAUAACCACAUGCUGGAUUCUUGCUAGCAUUUGGAUUGAAAGAUAGGUCUCAUGUUGAACCUUCUAUUCAUAAAUGCAUAUGGAACUAAAGUUGAAAAAGCUACAGAUCAAUAAGGGGAAAUCAAUGAUAAUUAGUAAAAUCUCAUUCUUAAUUCAAAAUAUGUAAAUUUUUAAAGCAGUUUUCUGAAAUUUUUCAAAUAUCAACUGAAAAGUCUGUUUGGAUUCUGGUGUUAUGAAGCACACUACAUGUAGUAGUUCUCUCCUUCUCCUCCUCACCAUUACAUGUCUUUGUGUAUGAUUUGACUUUGAACUUGAAUAAAAUUGAAUUGAAAACUUGACCUGUCUACAGACUACUACUUCUUUAUUCAUGGUUAUAUUUUGAUUCAACAAUAUGAUUAAGUUCUUUUAAAUUUGUUUUCUAAUUUUGUGUUGUUGCUUUUGCUUAUGCAAAUAGGAUGGUUAUAAGAAGCCGAAUAGUAAAUAAGGGAAACUCCUAUGAUUAAAUAAAUCUCAACAGUUGAUGUAUACAAUUAGAUUGAUUGUUUUAUGUAUUAUUUGCUGAUUUUGAUGACAUGAGUUGUAAGGUUUUCUUUAUCUUUUUCUAGGUGAAAUGAAAACCGCAUUGAAUUACAAAGACUGCCAUAUUCAUUAUCAUGUUUGUGUAUUUUGAAAUCUGGAUUCAAUCAUAUAAGCAUUGAACUGAAACUUACAAAAUUUCAGACUCAUUGCGCCUAAUUUAAUGUUUCCUUUUACUUUGUAAAUUUGUAAACCUUAUUUUGUUUCUAAAACUUUUGCGAGGUUCAACGGUUGCUGAUGUCUUAAUUUGGAGUUGUACUCAGAUUGGGUUCAUCGAAUGCUUAUCCUUAGUUAGACCAAGCAUUAUAGUUUUCUACAUUCUUUCAACUGGUUUUCUACAUUUUGUCUGCACGUGACAUUUACAAUUUUCUAUAUUUUGAAUUAUUUAGAUUUUGAUCUGUUAUGCUCAGAAUAGGAACAAACUACAAGAUGAAUUACUUUUGUCACGACUGUUACAAUGGAGAUUAACAUUAGCUGAGUGGUUGAUGUCAUGGAAUUUUAAUAUUGCUAUCAUAAAUAGUUGAAGGGAGAUUGAUUAAAGAGGAUGAAGGGAGCAUAACUCAAACUAUGAGUGUAUAAUGUAAUUGAUAGGAAUCAAGUUUCAAUGUAGAAUUGGAAGUAGAAGGUUAUGAUCAAAUGAGGAUUUCCUUCCUCCACAUGGGCUAUGGAGAUGGAUGCAUAAGCAAAACAAUUUAAGAAGUACAAGCUCUAAAGUAUUGUUUAAGACUCAUAGAAGAGCAACUUAUUUCAACUUAAAAAGGCCACUGAAAGUUAUACUCAAAAUUGGUCGGGACUUUAUACCCAAUACCAAGUAAUUGGCGCACAUAAUGUGCCAUAUACAAGUAGAAAAGCAUGAAACCAGUUUAAUACAAGUACCAGUUCUCAUACUACAAGGAAACUCUAGAGUUUGUGGAAGGUCAGCUAAAGCCUGAGUGCAUCUAUGAUAGACACAAUUUUCAUUUUACUUGCUUGAUACAGUAUCUCAAUUUCUAUUGUAUUGUGUCAUAUUAAUGUUUUGUACACUGCAGUUUAUAUUUGUAUAAUGUCUCAACUUAUAUAUAAGAGGUAGAGAUUGAGCACAUUCUAUUUGUAUUGCCUUAUUUUUCACCCUUUACUUUA